GAUCCGCUAUUGUUUUGGCGGAUAGCGGCAGACUGGUGAGUAACACGUGAGUAAUUUACCUUUAAGUCGGGGAUAGCCUCGCGGAAGUGAGGGUAAUACCUGAUGUGCUUAUGGCGGCAUAAGCCGCUAUAAGUAAAGAUGGUUCGUAAGAGUUGUCGCUUAGAGAUGAGCUCGCGUCCUAUCAGCUAGUUGGUGAGGGUAACGGCCCACCAAGGCAAUUGACGGGUAGCUGGCCUGAGAGGGCGGUCAGCCACACGGGGACUGAGACACUGCCCCGACUCCUACGGGAGGCUGCAGUCGAGGAUCUUUAGCAAUGGGCGAAAGCCUGACUAUGCGACGCCGCGUGAGGGGUGAAGGUUUUCGGAUCGUAAACCUCUUUCAAUAGGGAAGAAAACUCUGCUUAACAAGCAGAACUGACGGUACCUAUAGAAGAAGCCACGGCCAACUCCGUGCCAGCAGCCGCGGUAAUACGGGGGUGGCGAGCGUUACUCGGAUUUAUUGGGUGUAAAGGGCAAGUAGGCGUCCCGAAAAGUUAGGAGUGAAAUCCUUUGGCUUAACCAAAGAACAGCUCCUAAAACUGGCGGGAUUGAGGCUGGAAGAGGAGAGCGGAAUUCCCGGUGUAAGGGUGAAAUCUGUAGAUAUCGGGAGGAACACCAGUGGCGAAAGCGGCUCUCUGGUCUAGAUCUGACGCUGAAUUGCGAAAGCUAGGGUAGCAAACAGGAUUAGAUACCCUGGUAGUCCUAGCCGUAAACGAUGAGCACUAGGUGUUGAGAGUUUACUUUCAGCGCCGCAAGAUAACUCGUUAAGUGCUCCACCUGGGGACUACGACCGCAAGGUUAAAACUCAAAGGAAUUGACGGGGGCUCACACAAGCGGUGG
rnacentral:rRNA from 1 species